rnacentral:rRNA from 1 species
GACGGAGGAGGCAAGCGUUGUCCGGAUUUACUGGGUGUAAAGGGCGCGCAGGCGGGAUAAAAAGUCAGUGGUGAAAUCCUACAGCUUAACUGUAGAACUGCCUUUGAUACUUUUAUUCUUGAGUUCGGGAGAGAGAGACGGAAUUCCAGGUGUAGUGGUGAAAUACGUAGAUAUCUGGAAGAACACCAGUUGCGAAGGCGGUCUCUUGGUCCGAUACUGACGCUGAGGCGCGAAAGCGUGGGGAGCAAACAGG